AGUGAACGCUGGCGGUAGGCCUAACACAUGCAAGUCGAACGGCAGCACAGUAAGAGCUUGCUCUUACGGGUGGCGAGUGGCGGACGGGUGAGGAAUACAUCGGAAUCUACUUUUUCGUGGGGGAUAACGUAGGGAAACUUACGCUAAUACCGCAUACGACCUACGGGUGAAAGCAGGGGAUCUUCGGACCUUGCGCGAUUGAAUGAGCCGAUGUCGGAUUAGCUAGUUGGCGGGGUAAAGGCCCACCAAGGCGACGAUCCGCAGCUGGUCUGAGAGGAUGAUCAGCCACACUGGAACUGAGACACGGUCCAGACUCCUACGGGAGGCAGCAGUGGGGAAUAUUGGACAAUGGGCGCAAGCCUGAUCCAGCCAUACCGCGUGGGUGAAGAAGGCCUUCGGGUUGUAAAGCCCUUUUGUUGGGAAAGAAAAGCAGCAGGUUAAUACCCCGCUGUUCUGACGGUACCCAAAGAAUAAGCACCGGCGAACUUCGU
rnacentral:rRNA from 1 species